UAUCCGUGGCUCACCCGACUUUGUUGACGACUCUCUCAUCUCAGUUCCAGAUAGUCCUGGAGAGCCACAUCAGCACUUCAACCACGCCUGUAGCUUCUGCAGACGUCUUGGCUGCAGCCUGCCUGGCUCAGUCUCUUUAGCACUCAGAAGUAAAUACCUCUGAACUUGCCUGGCUCCAUCUUUCCAGACCUUUGUUCACAUCAGCAGUUGAUUUUCUUCCUCCCAAAGGACCAACAUCAGCGUUGUCAGCUGUCUUAGAGGCCAACUCAGUUCUACCAGACAACCACGCCAAACUCAUCCCUGCAUGUCUUCGCGGUGAAGUCAACCAGGCUAGCGCGCAGCUCAGCCGUCAUCACCUUGUGUUUAGCUUGUUGCGCAUGGCUGGUGCGCAGCUCUUGCUCUUGUUCCCUGAGCCACACCGAUUGAGCCUUCUAAAUGUAGACUUUAGCAAGACCUGAGGCUAAAUUCCAAGUCACAGAAAGGCCCUCGGGACCUCGGAGGCCUGGCCAGGUCUGUCUCUUGGAUGCUCUCUUCUACACCCUUUGCCUUAUUUUCCAGGUGACUCUCUGCGUCUCAGACAGCCCUGAUUUCAGAUUGUUUGCUCUGUUUACCCCCUAAAUACCCAAGUAGCUCACUCUCUAGCCUUCUUUCAGGUCUUGAGUAGAUGCUGCAUUAUCGGAGAGUCUUUCCUUCACCAACUUAGUAGUUCACUCGCUGUGGUCACACACUCUCGGGGACAUCCUUACCCCUGUUUAGUUUUCCCCCAGAAUUCAUUCUCGGGGUGGACAUAUUUUGUUUAUUUGUUGACUGUAAUCCUCCAAUAGAACACCACAAAGUCUUUUAAAAGAGGUUGUUUCUCAUAUUCACUGUUGUAACACUAAUGUUCAGAACACAGCCUGCUAUGUAGUAGGUCCAAUCAAUACUGGCAAAUAGAUAAAUUAAUAAUGAAAGAAUCAAGUUACAAAUUCUUAGGGGAAACUGCUUUCCUGUAUCUCCAAGCCAUGGCUCUGCCUGUGCACUGUUUGCUGUUGUUAUUUGCUCUUUCCCUGAAGGUACAGGUAGCCCUUGGGAAAUUUAACUUCUCAAAGCUGGGGUAGAAGAGGGGGGUUGAUCUUUGACCUUCAGCUUUUGAAAGGCCCAAGGCAUCAGCUGUCUUUGUGAUGAGUGAAUACUGCACAUAUCUCCAGAGAAUCUCUGGCUUCACGGCUUUUAAAAAGUUCAUAAUUUGCACUAUUAAUUUCUUUCUUUCUUCAAAGGUUUUCUAGACAGUGUCCUAGGGAGCUUGUCUGUGUGUUUGUCCAGUUAUUGCUUUGUUUUCUCUUUCAUUUUGGGAAAUAUUUUAGACUAUCUGGUCCACCAUAUUCCUGAAUAAGGAGCCUGUCGGACCUACCCAGAAGACUGACCAGCUCACAUGUUACCAUAGAAAACUGCUGUGAUCAGACUCUGGAAAUCCUCACCACUGUGACAGUGGUUUGUCGUGCUGAGAUGCAGAUGUUCCUGGCCUACUCAGCCUUCCAAGACAGAGGAGACAGAGUGAGAAAAAAUAACCACCCUUGGCAUCGACAACCGGCAUGUCAGAGCUCACAGAAACAGUGUUAGUCAUCAGGAAUGCUGCCAUGGUGAUAGGAAUGUUGGCUGGUGUCUUCAGUAGCCUGUGUCAGGCGGGAGCUGCCUGUUGGUGACUGUCGGUGGCCAUAUAAACAUUGGA